UGAGUAAUGCCUAGGAAAUUGCCCUGAUGUGGGGGAUAACCAUUGGAAACGAUGGCUAAUACCGCAUGAUGCCUACGGGCCAAAGAGGGGGACCUUCGGGCCUCUCGCGUCAGGAUAUGCCUAGGUGGGAUUAGCUAGUUGGUGAGGUAAGGGCUCACCAAGGCGACGAUCCCUAGCUGGUCUGAGAGGAUGAUCAGCCACACUGGAACUGAGACACGGUCCAGACUCCUACGGGAGGCAGCAGUGGGGAAUAUUGCACAAUGGGCGCAAGCCUGAUGCAGCCAUGCCGCGUGUGUGAAGAAGGCCUUCGGGUUGUAAAGCACUUUCAGUCGUGAGGAAGGUAGUGUAGUUAAUAGCUGCAUUAUUUGACGUUAGCGACAGAAGAAGCACCGGCUAACUCCGUGCCAGCAGCCGCGGUAAUACGGAGGGUGCGAGCGUUAAUCGGAAUUACUGGGCGUAAAGCGCAUGCAGGUGGUUUGUUAAGUCAGAUGUGAAAGCCCGGGGCUCAACCUCGGAAUUGCAUUUGAAACUGGCAGACUAGAGUACUGUAGAGGGGGGUAGAAUUUCAGGUGUAGCGGUGAAAUGCGUAGAGAUCUGAAGGAAUACCGGUGGCGAAGGCGGCCCCCUGGACAGAUACUGACACUCAGAUGCGAAAGCGUGGGGAGCAAACAGGAUUAGAUACCCUGGUAGUCCACGCCGUAAACGAUGUCUACUUGGAGGUUGUGGCCUUGAGCCGUGGCUUUCGGAGCUAACGCGUUAAGUAGACCGCCUGGGGAGUACGGUCGCAAGAUUAAAACUCAAAUGAAUUGACGGGGGCCCGCACAAGCGGUGGAGCAUGUGGUUUAAUUCGAUGCAACGCGAAGAACCUUACCUACUCUUGACAUCCAGAGAACUUUCCAGAGAUGGAUUGGUGCCUUCGGGAACUCUGAGACAGGUGCUGCAUGGCUGUCGUCAGCUCGUGUUGUGAAAUGUUGGGUUAAGUCCCGCAACGAGCGCAACCCUUAUCCUUGUUUGCCAGCGAGUAAUGUCGGGAACUCCAGGGAGACUGCCGGUGAUAAACCGGAGGAAGGUGGGGACGACGUCAAGUCAUCAUGGCCCUUACGAGUAGGGCUACACACGUGCUACAAUGGCGCAUACAGAGGGCAGCCAACUUGCGAAAGUGAGCGAAUCCCAAAAAGUGCGUCGUAGUCCGGAUUGGAGUCUGCAACUCGACUCCAUGAAGUCGGAAUCGCUAGUAAUCGUGGAUCAGAAUGCCACGGUGAAUACGUUCCCGGGCCUUGUACACACCGCCCGUCACACCAUGGGAGUGGGCUGCAAAAGAAGUAGGUAGUUUAACCUUCGGGGGGACGCUUACCACUUUGUGGUUCAUGACUGGGGUGAAGUCGUAACAAGGUAGCGCUAGGGGAACCUGGCGCUGGAU
rnacentral:rRNA from 1 species